UACGUAGGGGGCAAGCGUUGUCCGGAAUCAUUGGGCGUAAAGCGCGUGUAGGCGGCUCGAUAUGUCUGCUGUGAAAGUCCAAGGCUCAACCUUGGGAUGCCGGUGGAUACUGUCGAGCUCGAGUCCGGAAGAGGAGUGUGGAAUUCCUGGUGUAGCGGUGAAAUGCGCAGAUAUCAGGAGGAACACCGAUGGCGAAGGCAGGUCUCUGGGCCGCAACUGACGCUGAGGAGCGAAAGCAUGGGGAGCGAACAGG
rnacentral:rRNA from 1 species